rnacentral:rRNA from 1 species
UACGAAGGGGGCUAGCGUUGCUCGGAAUCACUGGGCGUAAAGGGUGCGUAGGCGGGUCUUUAAGUCAGGGGUGAAAUCCUGGAGCUCAACUCCAGAACUGCCUUUGAUACUGAUGAUCUGGAGAUCGGGAGAGGUUGGUGGAAUUCCGAGUGUAGAGGUGAAAUUCGUAGAUAUUCGGAGGAACACCAGAAGCGAAGGCGGCCAACUGGCCCGAUACUGACGCUGAGGCGCGAAAGCGUGGGGAGCAAACAGG